UUGUCUCGUGCGGGGCCGUUGGAGCCUUGCACGGGACCGAGAAGGGUUUUGUGUCUCCCGGCUCUGGGCAUGCGCAAAUGGGGGGGAGGGGAGUCCCGCAUGCGCAGAGGCAGCGCUCACCCGCUGCUGCUCCCUGGCGCUGCUGGGGCCGGGCGGAGCAGGAGGGUCUGUGCCGGGGAGACCCAUUAACCCCCCCGUGCCCGGCCCGCGCCCUGCUCCCGCUGGGGCCGCCCCGGGCUCUGCCCGCCCCGCUGCGGAGCUGCAGCCUCCAGGCUACAGAUUAACGUCCACGUUUCGCUCCAGAUCAUCCCAUCCUCCCAUGGGGAAAGAAAUGGCUGCAAUGGAGCUGGCUCAGAGGCUGGUGACUUUUGAGGAGGUGGCUGUGCAUUUCACCAGGGAAGAGGG